AUCGCUAUAAACUCCAAUAAACAUGUGUCGAACUUAUGUUGUCACUCGGACGCUUCCUUGUAAAACGUAUAUUGAAGUUAAGCGCUGUGAUGAUCUCGACCUCGACAUGAGUUUACUAACAACAGACGAUAUUCCCGUACUUUAAUCUGAAUUAUUUGAAAUCGUGAACAUAAAAAGAAAACGUGCAUUGGUCGGUUCCUCGUCUGAAAAUACAUCCAUAUUAAACAAUAGGCGUAUGACAGACGAGGCCAAAACCUCUGGUCAGAUUACAUGUUUAUCGUUCGGUUCACCUAUGACCUCGUUUGUUUACCUUGCUCCCGAGAUGUGACGAGAGUGCUCCUCGAGCUCGUGCGAUCUAAAUGUGCACGAUGCAAGUAUUAAAUACUGUAAUAUUUAUCUUAAAAGUAUGACACAAUAGAAGUUUAUGAUUUAGAAUAAAAAACACGCACAAGUAAAAAUGAAUCGUGUUAAUCUCUGGCAGUAAAAUAUUUAUCCCAUGAUGCAACACACACGAGUUUAGCGGGAAGUCUGAUAGCCAUGUUUGAAUUCACCGGAUGUUUAUUUCCAGAAGAAAAGUAUAAACAAACACGACGAUAGCCUAAAAACGAAGUUUGUUUCCAGUCUUACUGAAGAAGAUCGACUUACUUCAAGUUACCGACGAAUGAAUAUCAGCUUUCUCGUUGUUUUUGACGACCGAUGCAUAUUUUUACCGACAAACAUCGUUACGAGACAGGGGUUUUGAUGAUUAAUUUAUCACAGAUUACACGGCCGAAGGAAACGCAGUACCGAUCCAUGUGUUACAAUCAGACUGAGUCUUCAUGCAGUACAUUCUGGAAUGAGGAACACCGCAUGCAUUAAUUGUGGUCCAAAUUGAUGGCAUUGACUUAACACAAAGCAGAAAGGAAUGAAGAGAAAUGAAGAAGUUUAUGUUUCACAUUAAUUAAGAUUAUUCGAGAUAUGUUAUCUGUCGAGUUUACGGACACACAUGAAAACAGUUUCCAGUACAUCUGGGCUACUUCGAGGAAACUACGUAUACUGUCUGAAAUCAGUCUUGUGCGUCGGUGACAAAAUGUAUACAUAUCCUACUAUAACUCUGCUGGAAAAUAUUAUUUUGUACUAUUUUCCUACUAUUUUAGAAAAAAAA